UAUAGUUCUGUUAAUUUAAUACGUAGAGAAAAUUAAGUUAAGAAAAUGAGGGACGGACGAUAGUUAAGGGACCUUGACUCGUUGCCUUCGAACGGGAGAUCGUUAACUGCGGAUAAAACGAAUGACACCUUUCGAUUAGAUCGUGGAUUAACGAUCUCACACUCGAUGUUGAUUGGCUUUCAAUCUGCUAGGAAUUAACUUCUGUUACGAAACUAUUAUUAAAUCCACAUUAGUCGGUGCGAAGAUCUAGACGUACAAUGUAUUUCAUAUUUUUUCAAUAAAUUGUCUUCGCAACAUAAAAGGAGGCUUUAACGAAACAACACCUACAAACCUAAGGCAUUGAGACAUCGGUAAAAUGCAUAGUAGCUAAUCAACAUAUCGAAGAGGAGAAAUGAGCUCGUAUGUAGAAAAUCGGCGGCGUAUUCGCGGACAUAGAACGAUCGAGAUAUCGGGUAGGCCAUGGAAGUAGGUCAACGUCGUGUGGGCAAGACGGAGAACCAAGUUCAGGGGCGAACUGCAGCGCCGUGCCCGAAGCACACGGACUCUCCUGGUGGCUUAGGUUAGGUCUUCUCACUCGUUCUUUCUCCAACGUGCAUACCUCCCUCUCGAGAAGGAGGCGCAACGCGCGCGCGGACUCGAUGGAGCGAACAGAGACGGCGGAGGCGGUCUAACGGACUUCUCUGGUCUGCCUAGUUUUAUUUUUCCACUGGACCCGGAGCGUGUGGCCAUUCGUUCCGUUCCUCUCUCGCACUCGUCCUCGCACACCACCACCCGGUUGGAUACACUUCUACACGCUGCUGCCGCCGUCGAAGAGGGAGAGAGUGGCGUUUCACGACAUCGUUCUCGUUUUCUCUUUCUCCCCAUUGAAACGAUCUUGGCCUAGGCGACGAAAUGCGCUUUCUCCGUGAGAGACCAGCAACAACGUCACUGCCGUCCGAGGAAUCCGGAUCGUUGCGCGAUCGAACCGAGCUCGCGACCGCGAUCCAUGCCCCUCGAUAGAAGCAAGGAACACAAGAAUGGAAGCUUCGCACUGCCAUGGACAUCAGUCACCUAGUCGCUGCUGCUCUUCGUUCGUCGUUUGUCGAGCAAGCAAGUGAGCGCGAGGACUGGAUACGUUUAAACCGUCGAAUCUCGCCGUUGCACCCGGCGGUCUGCAGGGUUGUCCGUUUCGACGCGCGAUCGUUUAACUUUCAGCCGCCCUUUCAUUUAUAGCGCAGGCGACCUUGAAAAUGUUACUAUUUUUUUUAUUACUAUUAUUAUAAUUAUUUAAAUCGUAAUAUUAAGGGGCACUAAGGCACCGUUAUAAAUAAUAUAAAUAUAUAUAAUAUAAAUAUGUACAUGUAUAAAAACGUAGGUGCGGACGAAGGAUCCUAAAACACAAUGACUGCGAACUUCCGCAUCCCGUAUCUCUGCUACCGCUGGAAAAUUGUUGUCAUUACUCUCCGAUAGUUACUUGGUUACUGUAAAGACACACUACAUACCCACAUAUACAGAUACACCAACAGACGCGUUCAAGUACACGCGACGUACUUACUCACACACACACACACACACACACACACAGAAGCAUACACUGGCCGUACAAACACCAGGACGUUGAAUUUACUAAACGUUCGUCGGCUUGUUCGGCGGGUAACGUGUAUCCAGUCUGAUUGCAUUUAAAAGCAGAGUAGAACGUGGCCAAGCACGUUUUAGUAAAUUCAAUGAAAAAUGUUGUUCUUUCCGUAUGUUACUGCUACCACCGCUAUUACUACCCGCCACUAUAUCGUCGCCUGUUACACCGCAAUUACGCGCUACCAGUAUACUACUUAUUCGCCGAUAUAGCCGUUACGAGACGUAAACACGGCCAUGUUGUCCCUCUAUUAUAGCGAGCGAUUCCAAUACUAUUGAGUUUUGCGUUUUCGAGAUCGCUGGUGACCUGAUUGAUCGGUCAUGAAAUUCUACGGUACUAACGGACAAAGAAAAAUGGCAACAACCUGUUCUCUCUUCGACCCUUAUAUUACGAAAUUAUUCUUAUCCUAUUCUCUCUAGAAUAUAUUUAUUAUGAACCAAACAACAA